CCCGAAACUAGACGAGCUACCUCCAAGACAGCCUAUAAUAGGGCGCACCCUUCUCUGUGGCAAAAGAGUGGGAAGAGCUUUGAGUAGAGGCGAUNAACCUACCGAGCCUAGUUAUAGCUGGUUGCCUGAGAAUUGAAUCCAAGUUCAGCCUUUCGUCUUCUUACCCCAAAAACCCUAAUAAAUCCGUUAGACCAAAAGAAGCCAAAAGAGUUAAACAAAGGGGGUACAGCUCCUUUGUUACAAGACACAACUUUAACAGAAGGGUAAAGAUCAUAAUAAACCAAGGCACAUGUUCUGGUGGGCCUAAAAGCAGCCAUCCACAUUGAUAGCGUUAAAGCUCGAACAUACCAAACCCCAUUAAUAAUGCUAAUUAUAUCUAAACCCUCCAUUCCUAUCAGGCCCUUCCAUGCAGCCAUGGAAGUGAUAAUGCUAAUAUGAGUAAUAAGAGGGCCCGACCCUCUCCUUGCACAAGUGUACAUCGAAACGAACCCACAUCGAAUAUCAACGGACCCAAAACAAGAGGGCAAUGCAGCACCAAAAAGACAGCCAGAAAAACCUCCAUAUACAACCCGUUAACCUCACACUAGUGUGCCUACAAGGAAAGACUAAUAAAAAGAGAAGGAACUCGGCAAACACCAAGCCUCGCCUGUUUACCAAAAACAUCGCCUCUUGCAAAUAUCAAAUAAGAAGGUCCCGCCUGCCCUGGACUAUAUGUUACGGCCGGAUUUACGGCGAGGAGGAUAA
rnacentral:rRNA from 1 species